AUUGAACGCUGGCGGCAGGCCUAACACAUGCAAGUCGAGCGGAGCGGCCGCCGCGUGCGUAAUGCCUAGGACUCUGCCUGGGCGUGGGGGAUAACGUUCGGAAACGGGCGCUAAUACCGCAUACUCUCAGAUGAGCCUAGGUCGAAUUAGCUAGUUGGUGGGGUAAAGGCUUACCAAGGCGACGAUCCGUAGCUGGUCUGAGAGGAUGAUCAGUCACACUGGAACUGAGACACGGUCCCGACUCCUACGGGAGGCAGCAGUGGGGAAUAUUGGACAAUGGGCGAAAGCCUGAUCUAGCCAUGCCGCGUGUGUGAAGAAGGUCUUCGGAUUGUAAAGCACUUUAAGUUGGGAGGCGUUACCAGCAGAAGAAGCACCGGCUAACUCCGUGCCAGCAGCCGCGGUAAUUC
rnacentral:rRNA from 1 species